rnacentral:rRNA from 1 species
CUGGCGGCGCGCCUAACACAUGCAAGUCGAACGAGCGAGAGAGAGCUUGCUUUCUCGAGCGAGUGGCGAACGGGUGAGUAACGCGUGAGGAACCUGCCUCAAAGAGGGGGACAACAGUUGGAAACGACUGCUAAUACCGCAUAAGCCCACGGCUCGGCAUCGAGCAGAGGGAAAGGAGCAAUCCGCUUUGAGAUGGCCUCGCGUCCGAUUAGCUAGUUGGUGAGGUAAUGGCCCACCAAGGCGACGAUCGGUAGCCGGACUGAGAGGAUGAACGGCCACACUGGAACUGAGACACGGUCCAGACUCCUACGGGAGGCAGCAGUGGGGAAUCUUCCGCAAUGGGCGAAAGCCUGACGGAGCAACGCCGCGUGAGUGAUGACGGCCUUCGGGUUGUAAAGCUCUGUGAUCGGGGACGAACGGUCCGUAAGCCAAUACCUUAUGGAAGUGACGGUACCCGAAUAGCAAGCCACGGCUAACUACGUG